rnacentral:lncRNA from 12 species
AUGAAUGUCCUGGUCUCUGACUCCUACUCCAGUGCUCCUCAACAGCUGCUACACAGAAACCCAGCGUUCAGUUCAGAGCCUCAUGCAGUGCCAGCGUUACAGAUACAACACAAAUGUUCCAGGUGGAAGAAGGGAUUCAAACGGAAUGCCAAGGUCCAAGCCAGGCUCAGGAAAUCAAAAGGAAGGUUUGGAGUAACGGAGAAGAUGGACUCCAACAUGCUCUAGGAUUCAACAGUUUAUAUCUCUCCUAAAGGCCUUCCCCUUCAAAAGGAAUUCCAGGAUUUGAAGGGCGCACUCACGAGCUGCAGGGGAGCCAAAAGGUACGUCUUCUCUUUUCAUUGCCGUGUUGCUGAAUUUAAUCCAUGAAAUUUAACUGUUGUUUCUGUUUCAUUCGCUAUGCUCCCAAAUGUGCCAAAGGGUCAACCUCAGUCCUGAGACAACCAGAGAUUAAAUACAACUCUGUGAAUCGUCGAAGCGGUUUAAUUUUGAAAGAGACCCUAACUGCGUUUGAAGCUCAGCGUAGAAUUUCCAUCUCUGCAGACUGAUGGCCAGUCAGCAGAGCAAACCCUGAGGGGACGCUGAUGUUUCGUGUAAUUCCUCUGGUCUUGAAAUGUCUAAGCAUUUUGCAAAUAAGCAAUGUGAUGCUAGGCUUAAGAUUUCUGUCUCCGAGUGAAGGGGACUGGGAUUGGCCCUCAGCAAAACCACUGGGCAGAAAAUGGUAUCUUGAACUCUCUUUCCCCUUACUUUAAGCACUGAAUUUUCAUUGCUACCUUCCCUCCUCUCAAGGCUCUGGUCCUUUGCCCACUGGGAGGGAAGAGAUCUGACACACAUUUGACAGCACUGUAUUUUUCCUGUGGAAGCAAUAAAAAUGUCUUCUAGAGUAUAGCA